CCUACGGGAGGCUGCAGUGGGGAAUAUUGGGCAAUGGGCGCAAGCCUGACCCAGCAACGCCGCGUGAAGGAAGAAGGCUUUCGGGUUGUAAACUUCUUUUAUUGAGGACGAAACAAAUGACGGUACUCACUGAAUAAGCCACGGCUAACUACGUGCCAGCAGCCGCGGUAAUACGUAGGUGGCAAGCGUUAUCCGGAUUUACUGGGUGUAAAGUGCGUGUAGGCGGGACUGCAAGUCAGAUGUGAAACUCAUGGGCUCAACCCAUGGACUGCAUUUGAGACUGGAGUUCUUGAGUGAUGGAGAGGCAGGCGGAAUUCCGGGUGUAGCGGUGAAAUGCGUAGAUAUACGGAGGAACCCCAGUGGCGAAGGCAGCCUGCUGAACAUUAACUGACGCUGAGGCGCGAAAGCGUGGGGAGCAAACAGGAGUAGAUACCCUUGUAGUC
rnacentral:rRNA from 1 species